GCUGGCAGUGAUGACAAACUUGCCCUCACUGAGAUCUGUUCAGGGUUUGAUGUUGAGAAACUUUCUCUGUGCUCAACUUGUGCUGAGCCUCC